CAGGGGGCGCCGUGUGACGGCCCGCACGCCAGGGCGAUUCAGGCAACUCAAACCCUUCCUUCAUUUGGUCUUCUUGUUAAAGCAAUUUGUUCAAUAACUCUUUUUAAGGUUAUGAACGCUGGGGUGAGGUUGCCGACCAGUCAUCUGCGGUGCAACCGUUGAGGACCUUAAAGGUGUCAGCCAGACCGCACCCUCUCAGCCCGAGCACUGUGCAAGGCAUGCCCCCCGUUUCAUGGAUUGUGUUGUUUGAGAAACAUACCCAUCUUCGUUUCAUCAAGAUGUUUUUGACUGUUGAAACUGAGCAAUGCGUAAUUUGGCCUAUUCAUUUGUAUAUCUAAUUAAUAAAAUAUCAUCCUUUGCAUUUAUCUGCCAUCAGGGCAAUAUUGAGUAAAGUUUUUCUAAAGUCCUUAUAGAAGUUUACUCUGCACAUUUUCAUCAUAGGAUCAAUACUUAUUUUGUUCUAUUAUGUGUGCAAAAUGUACAUAGCAUCUAUUGAUCACUGUCCCUUUUCGGCCGUCUAAAUGUAUCAAUCCCGACUCCCAAACGAUCAAAUUUUCGCCCACUUCACAUUAAAACCAACAAAAGAAUAAAUAAAAGUCCUUUAUUGUGAUUUAGUAGUUGAUCCACAGGUAAGAUAGAAUCCACACUGUAGGGCGGAUUUUAACCAGUCAGAGCCAGUGCAGUGUGAAAACCUUUUACAAAACCGUUUACAAAACGGCAGUGAUUCGCAAGGGAGGCCUCACACACACUGGUCGUCGUGGAACUUGCGUUAAAAUUCUAUGAUUUCUCAUGAUACAAAUAUUGAAAGAAGAAGGGGCCAGAGAGAGGGGCCUCCUUUCUAAGACAUGGGAGAUUUUGUGGUGUGUGAUCUUAAAGCCUUUUGGACAAUACAUAUAGGCCUAAUUUAGAUUGAACAAAGAUACAUUGAGAACUCAUGGUGCAAAGUAUCAUCAGGCGAGCAUAAGCCGAUCUAAAAACAUAUGGUAUGAUGGAUUUUCAUCUUGGUUGAAGGAAAUACAAUUACAAUUGAUCAAGUCACAUUCAAUGUUUCUCUCUGUUCAUUUUUCAGGUUCACAAGGACUUCCCUUUAUUACACAUCUAGGCAGAAGGGGCUCAGGGUUUAAGUGCACUUUGGCCGUUUAUCUGACAGACCUAGAUUCAUUCACAGAUUAAACAGACAUCGACAAGCAAAUAGGAGGGAGAUAUUCAUAAAAAGUGUGGGGGGGGUAAAUAAAGCAAUUAGUACAAUUUGGAAAAACACAGAUUGAAAACAUAUGGGACGGUCCAUAUAUAUUACCACUUCAUAAAAGUGGUAUCAAUUUCCCAUUAUCUGGUCUGACGUCAAGUAACAAAAGUACAUAAUAUGCUUUUAAAGUUGAACAUAAAAACCAGACAAUACAUUGAGAAGUUUUUCAAAGCUGGUCUUAAUCUGAUUAAAACACUUAAUUUGUAAUCAAUACCACACUGUCCCAUAUAUUACCAUCUGGAAAUUGUCUUCAUAUACGAUUUUGCACACAAGACUGCAAAUUCAAUCAUUUCCAAGCACUUCUCUUGUGUCACUAUGAAACAUUAUCUUACACGAUCUCAUCAUAUAGAAUCUCUGUUCUUGCUUUUUAAGGGGGGAGACAUUUCAAAAGUAAAUUCAGGUUUGGGAUUAAAAGAAAAAGUGGUUAACCAGUGGGUACAGCAGAA